UACGGGGGGGGCAAGCGUUGUUCGGAAUUACUGGGCGUAAAGGGCCAGUAGGCGGCCAACUAAGUCCGACGUGAAAUCCCAAGGCUUAACCUUGGAACUGCGUCGGAUACUGGAUGGCUUGAAUUCGGGAGAGGGAUGCAGAAUUCCAGGUGUAGCGGUGAAAUGCGUAGAUAUCUGGAGGAAUACCGGUGGCGAAGGCGGCAUCCUGGACCGACACUGACGCUGAGUGAGCGAAAGCCAGGGGAGCAAACGGG
rnacentral:rRNA from 1 species